CUGCCACGGCCAUACAGUUUAUAAACAAUUGUGAUACGGCACAAUGACUCUGUGAGGAAAGCCACUCAAGUGAUGAAAUCUGAGAGCAAGCGUUUUUUACAACCACAUACGUUGUUGGAACCAGACUGUCAACAGUUCAAGAGGCUGUUUCACUUACCCAAUCAGUCUAGUGGCACCAAGAACAGCCCCUUGUCCUCAUACAAGGGCCAUGGAAGAAGUGGAGAGUGACCCAGCAACCCAGGCCUGCAGUGACACCCAAGUGCUAUACAAGUCAUUUCCUCUGGCACUGUGGCACUCAUCAGUACAAUGAACGAGACCAACCCUGUCUGUAUUUAUAGACUGCACAGAAAGCCAUGUAAUCAUUCACUGGAAAAAAGACUGACUGCUGCAGAAGAUCAUGUGAGCCCUUGGAAAUGAGGUUGGAGAUCCUGAAAUGA